rnacentral:rRNA from 1 species
GGAUGAACGCUGGCGGCGUGCCUACUACCUGCAAGUCGAGCGAACGGACGAGAAGCUUGCUUCUCUGAUGUUAGCGGCGGACGGGUGAGUAACACGUGGAUAACCUACCUAUAAGACUGGGAUAACUUCGGGAAACCGGAGCUAAUACCGGAUAAUAUUUUGAACCGCAUGGUUCAAAAGUGAAAGACGGUCUUGCUGUCACUUAUAGAUGGAUCCGCGCUGCAUUAGCUAGUUGGUAAGGUAACGGCUUACCAAGGCAACGAUGCAUAGCCGACCUGAGAGGGUGAUCGGCCACACUGGAACUGAGACACGGUCCAGACUCCUACGGGAGGCAGCAGUAGGGAAUCUUCCGCAAUGGGCGAAAGCCUGACGGAGCAACGCCGCGUGAGUGAUGAAGGUCUUCGGAUCGUAAAGCUCUGUUAUUAGGGAAGAACAUAUGUGUAAGUAACUGUGCACAUCUUGACGGUACCUAAUCAGAAAGCCACGGCUAACUACGUG